rnacentral:rRNA from 1 species
AUUGAACGCUGGCGGCAUGCUUUACACAUGCAAGUCGAACGGCAGCGCGGGCUUCGGCCUGGCGGCGAGUGGCGAACGGGUGAGUAGUGCAUCGGAACGUGCCCAGUAGUGGGGGAUAGCCCGGCGAAAGCCGGAUUAAUACCGCAUACGACCUGAGGGUGAAAGCGGGGGACCGAAAGGCCUCGCGCUAUUGGAGCGGCCGAUGUCGGAUUAGCUAGUUGGUGGGGUAAAGGCUUACCAAGGCGACGAUCCGUAGCUGGUCUGAGAGGACGACCAGCCACACUGGGACUGAGACACGGCCCAGACUCCUACGGGAGGCAGCAGUGGGGAAUGUUGGACAAUGGGGGCAACCCUGAUCCAGCCACGCCGCGUGCGGGAAGAAGGCCUUCGGGUUGUAAACCGCUUUUGUUCGGGAAGAAAUCCUCUGGGCUAAUACCCCGGGGGGAUGACGGUACCGGAAGAAUAAGCACCGGCUAACUACGUG